UGGGGAAUUUUGGACAAUGGGCGAAAGCCUGAUCCAGCAAUGCCGCGUGUGUGAAGAAGGCCUUCGGGUUGUAAAGCACUUUUGUCCGGAAAGAAAUCCUUGGCUCUAAUACAGUCGGGGGAUGACGGUACCGGAAGAAUAAGCACCGGCUAACUACGUGCCAGCAGCCGCGGUAAUACGUAGGGUGCAAGCGUUAAUCGGAAUUACUGGGCGUAAAGCGUGCGCAGGCGGUUUGCUAAGACCGAUGUGAAAUCCCCGGGCUCAACCUGGGAACUGCAUUGGUGACUGGCAGGCUAGAGUACGGCAGAGGGGGGUAGAAUUCCACGUGUAGCAGUGAAAUGCGUAGAGAUGUGGAGGAAUACCGAUGGCGAAGGCAGCCCCCUGGGCCAAUACUGACGCUCAUGCACGAAAGCGUGGGGAGCAAACAGGAUUAGAUACCCUGGUAGUCCACGCCCUAAAACGAUGUCAACUAGUUGUUGGGGAUUCAUUUCCUUAGUAACGUAGCUAACGCGUGAAGUUGACCGCCUGGGGAGUAC
rnacentral:rRNA from 1 species